rnacentral:rRNA from 1 species
GAUGAACGCUGGCGGCGUGCCUAAUACAUGCAAGUCGAGCGAACGGACGAGAAGCUUGCUUCUCUGAUGUUAGCGGCGGACGGGUGAGUAACACGUGGAUAACCUACCUAUAAGACUGGGAUAACUUCGGGAAACCGUAGCUAAUACCGGAUAAUAUUUUGAACCGCAUGGUUCAAAAGUGAAAGACGGUCUUGCUGUCACUUAUAGAUGGAUCCGCGCUGCAUUAGCUAGUUGGUAAGGUAACGGCUUACCAAGGCAACGAUGCAUAGCCGACCUGAGAGGGUGAUCGGCCACACUGGAACUGAGACACGGUCCAGACUCCUACGGGAGGCAGCAGUAGGGAAUCUUCCGCAAUGGGCGAAAGCCUGACGGAGCAACGCCGCGUGAGUGAUGAAGGUCUUCGGAUCGUAAAACUCUGUUAUUAGGGAAGAACAUAUGUGUAAGUAACUGUGCACAUCUUGACGGUACCUAAUCAGAAAGCCACGGCUAACUACGUGCCAGCAGCCGCGGUAAUACGUAGGUGGCAAGCGUUAUCCGGAAUUAUUGGGCGUAAAGCGCGCGUAGCGGUUUUUUAAGUCUGAUGUGAAAGCCCACGGCUCAACCGUGGAGGGUCAUUGGAAACUGGAAAACUUGAGUGCAGAAGAGGAAAGUGGAAUUCCAUGUGUAGCGGUGAAAUGCGCAGAGAUAUGGAGGAACACCAGUGGCGAAGGCGACUUUCUGGUCUGUAACUGACGCUGAUGUGCGAAAGCGUGGGGAUCAAACAGGAUUAGAUACCCUGGUAGUCCACGCCGUAAACGAUGAGUGCUAAGUGUUAGGGGGUUUCCGCCCCUUAGUGCUGCAGCUAACGCAUUAAGCACUCCGCCUGGGGAGUACGACCGCAAGGUUGAAACUCAAAGGAAUUGACGGGGACCCGCACAAGCGGUGGAGCAUGUGGUUUAAUUCGAAGCAACGCGAAGAACCUUACCAAAUCUUGACAUCCUUUGACAACUCUAGAGAUAGAGCCUUCCCCUUCGGGGGACAAAGUGACAGGUGGUGCAUGGUUGUCGUCAGCUCGUGUCGUGAGAUGUUGGGUUAAGUCCCGCAACGAGCGCAACCCUUAAGCUUAGUUGCCAUCAUUAAGUUGGGCACUCUAAGUUGACUGCCGGUGACAAACCGGAGGAAGGUGGGGAUGACGCCAAAUCAUCAUGCCCCUUAUGAUUUGGGCUACACACGUGCUACAAUGGACAAUACAAAGGGCAGCGAAACCGCGAGGUCAAGCAAAUCCCAUAAAGUUGUUCUCAGUUCGGAUUGUAGUCUGCAACUCGACUACAUGAAGCUGGAAUCGCUAGUAAUCGUAGAUCAGCAUGCUACGGUGAAUACGUUCCCGGGUCU